UGGUAGUGGACAUCGGUUACUGGUUCAAGGGUAGCACAAAUCGGAAAGGAUACCUGACAGAUGAAAAUCAGGCCAGGUUCAAGAGACUUGUGCAGACAUUCACUGACCCCAUGACAGAAGUGUACCUGCUGUUCUUCCAAGCCACUGUACCAACUUUCACUUCUUUCAACUUGCUGCUUCAGAGAGAGCAGUCAUCAAUAUUUUUGUUACAUGAUGAGAUGGUGAAAUUCGUACGCAAGCUAUGUUCCAAGUUUAUGGUUCCAGCAGCUCUGCAGUGCCAUGAGGAGCCUUGUGAAAUUGCCUUUGAAGAAAAGGCAAACCAUUUACCAGGUUAGUAUUUGACUAUUAUUAUGAUCAAACACUGUGAUAUGUGAUAUUUAGCCUUGUACCUUAUACCGAUAUGCUGUAUUGGGUUCACAA